AUGAUGGACUAUAGGACAGGACUGCUGCUUUUAACUCUCUGCUGGGCAGGUGUUGAAGGUCAGACUCUGACAGAAUCUGAACCAGCAGUUAAAAAGCCUGGAGAAUCCCACAAACUGACCUGUACAACAUCUGGAUUGUCAUUCAGUAGCUACUGGAUGGCCUGGAUCAGACAGGCUCCUGGAAAAGGACUGGAGUGGAUUGCUGCUGAUGGUGGUGGUAGUAGCAAAUACUACUCUCAGUCAGUUCAAGGCCGGUUCACCAUCUCCAGAGACGACAGCAGAGAGCAGCUGUAUCUGCAGAUGAACAGUCUGAAGACUGAAGAUUCUGCUGUUUAUUAUUGUGCU